GGAAAACUAAGGCACAGUGAAUUGUAGCUCCUAACUACAGGGCAAACCAUCUUCCUUAAGUAGGAGUGAAAAAUACAAACAUCAAAAUGGUCCUCAUCCACCCUUUUAUAAACCAGUGACCCAGAUGGCUCUCCCUAGUUGUCAACUACACCUCAGGGGACAACGGUGGAAUAUCGUCAGUCUCUGACAGUUCGAGCUGUCACUCCUGGGUCUUCUCUUCUCCGGGCUGGACUCGGCAGGGCGUCCCAUCCUUCCUGGUUGAAGCCACUCGCUGCGGAGUCUCUGGCAAUUCUUCACUGUAAGAGGCUGACUGUAUGCGUUACGGGUGCCGAGUUAAGCCUGACAAUAUGGACCAAAGCAGGACUAAAGUCAGGAAAAUAGAAAAUAUGAGAAGUUUAAACCAUUUACCAAUAAUUUAUGGCCUUUAUUUAUGGGGAACUUAGAAGAAUAAUCUUCUAGAUCUAAAACUCCCUUUUUCCAGCUGAAAAAAGAAACCACUGUCAAGCAGGCUGAGUAACAUGCCCAGGGAACACGACCGUAAGCUCUAGAGCUCCGCGUGGCUCCGCGUGGCUCCACGCCCUGGCAAUGAUGAUUCUGCACAGCCUUAGAGGGGCUGAACACUGGAAGCCGUCACGUGAAAUGAGAUCACCUCAGUCGUCCUGCUGACGAUGAGCAUUCACACAAAAACCUUUCCAGGUGGAGGCAGGUGGCCGUAACUCAGGACACCUUCAGGAGCUUCCGUGAUUCAGAGCGUCUGUUCUGUGUCUCAAAGCCAACGCUUAAUGGGAUCAUCUCCUCUUUGAUCUACGGGAGUGAACGUUUUAAGCACGUCUCAGUGCAUGUGCAAGCACUCACUAGACAGGGAAGGGGG